CAUUUUUACAUCUUGCUCAAAAUUCAGAGUUCCCGGCCUCAUUUUCAGUGUUAAGGCCCCAUUUUCAGAGCUCUGACCCCCAUUUUCAGCCCUUACGCCCCAUUUUCAGAGCACUGACCCCCAUUUUCAGCACUCAGAGCCCCAUUUUCAAAUCUCUGACCCCCAUUUUCAGAGCUCAGAGCCCCAAUUCCAGGCUCUGUGGCCGCCCCUUAAGUUGCGCUGCAUGGGGUUGAAACAAAUGGGGAGGGGGGU
rnacentral:lncRNA from 1 species